rnacentral:rRNA from 1 species
UACGUAGGGGGCAAGCGUUGUCCGGCUUUAUUGGGCGGAAAGAGCGUGUAGGCGGCCAGAUAGGUCUGUUGUGAAAACUCGAGGCUCAACCUCGAGACGCCGAUGGAAACCAUUUGGCUAGAGUCCGGAAGAGGAGAGUGGAAUUCCUGGUGUAGCGGUGAAAUGCGCAGAUAUCAGGAAGAACACCCGUGGCUAAGGCGGCUCUCUAGUACGGUACUGACGCUGAGACGCGAAAGCGUGGGGAGCGAACAGG